GCCAACGACCAUACACGCGAAUACAUCGGUUGUAGCCGAUCACGAAAUUAAGCAGCGUCGGCGCGGUUAUACUUAGAUGAGGGACGCCUUGGGAACACCGAGUGUUGUUGGCC
rnacentral:rRNA from 1 species